rfam:Megamonas funiformis YIT 11815 genomic scaffold supercont1.1, whole genome shotgun sequence.
AUAUAAACUUUAGCGCUGGCUCUGUUUUAUAUUUAUGAAAUAGAGUACGAGGAAGAAGUCGUCGAAAAUAUCAGCGGAUGCUUCUCGGCUUAAUCUAGUCGAUAGUAGCUGGCAAAACUUUUAAGUGAUUAAAAGGACAAUACAGCAAAAGAUUUAUA